CCAGCCCUGGCUGCGAGUCCCGCACUGGGCGCCCGCACCCACCCCAAGACCACCCCACAGAAGUCCUCAGCCGUCUCUCCCGGCCAGGGCUAGGGCGAAGAGACGAGCGGAGGGCUCCCAGCCGGCCCGGACCCCUGGGCGGGGCUGCACAGGGGCGAAGGCCCCAAACGCAUCCCUGGCCUUUCCUGGCUCACCACGACCCCGCCGCCCACCCUCCCUACCUGGCCUUGAGGCUGGGGCUGCUGCCGCUGCUGCAGCUGCUGCUGGAGGCGGCGGCGACCGCCGCGGCUCGGGACAAAUCUAAGACCUGGCAAUCCUGCUCAGUGAUGGGAGUUCCUGCAGAGACCUUCACUUGCCCUGCUCCUCUGUAGCUUCCCUGCAAUAAAGUCCAGCUGCUUUUGCUGGGGCAGGCACACCAUUCUUCUCAACAUCAUACUGGAGGUUCGGCCAGAGCAAUAAGGUCACUGGAAGUGAAGAGCUCCAAAUCAAAUCUAUUAUAUAGGAGGUGUCUACAUAUGAACAAGUUUGCUUCUUCUUUUGAUGUAAAGACUAGCAAAAAAAUAGAAAGAUUUCAAACACCGAUAAAAAAUAAGGCAGAAAAUUCCUGUUUUAAUUACGAUUUUACACUACCACCUAAUGGAGACAGAAUGAAAAAUUUUCCAAGUCUCCAUCAUCUCUCAUUGGGAUUCUUGCAAUGGCCCUCUAAGGCAGGGGUCCCCAACUCCCGGGCCAUGGACCACUAUCGGUCUGAGGCCUCUCAGGAUCCGGGCGGCACAGCAGGAGGUGAGCAGCGGGCCAGCGAGCGAAGCUUCACCUGCCGCUCCGCUCUCCAUCGCUCCCCAUCACUGGUAUUACUGCCUGAGCCAUCCACCGCAACAUCCGUGGAAAAAUUGUCUUCCAAGAAACUGGUCGCUGGUGCCAAAAAGGUUGGGGACCGGGCUUCCCUGGUGGCGCAGUGGUUGAGAGUCUGCCUGCCAAUGCAGGGGACAUGGGUUCGUGCCCCAGUCCGGGAAGAUCCCACAUGCCACGGAGCGGAUGGACCCGUGAGCCAUUGUCGCUGAGCCUGCACGUCCGGAGCCUAUGCUCCACAACGGGAGAGGCCACAACGGUAAGAGGCCUGCGUACCGCAAAAAAAAAAAAAAAAAAAAAAAA